UUGAGAGGAGAAAAUAAGAAAGAGAAGUUCGUUCUAGAAAUCUUAUUUCAUAAUACAUUUUAGGUAUUUCGUAAAUUUCAUUCUAGAAAACGUAUUUGAUAAUAUGUCAAAAUUCGCAGAGAAUGGUAUGCUAUGAAGCUUCGACACGCCUCUUAAAUGGUGUGUCCCUGAAGGCCCUUGAAUGGUCCUACGGCAAGAGGCUUGAAAGGUUCCAUUUUGAGCCUUUUCUCUCGCAGUGUAGCGCUCCAAUCAGGUGAUUUUCUUCCAUUCAUAAAUGCAAGAUUUGCAGCAAUGCGUAAAAGUGUCCAUGGGGGUUUUGGAAGUCUAAAGAAAUUGUCCAUGGGAGUAUUACAUGGUUUGGCUGUUAAUAAUCCUGUUCUUAAACCUAUGGGGCUUUUUCAUGGUGGCAUUGAGAUUGUCUUUGAAGCAAAUAAGAAAAUCUUUCAUCUCGAAUUCAGAGCCAUUGUCUGAUUUAAUGCACUUGAUCUUAUCAUUGAACUGAAUCUCUAUUUAUCAGCAGAAAGGCUCUAUCAAGUUAGCAACUUCUGAUUUGUGUUUCAUGCAAAGAGUCCGCACAUGCUUUUAUCUGACAUUUACAAGUUUUUUUGUUGUUGAUGAAAACCGACAUCUAGAACUGUAAGAAAAUAUCUGAAAUCAAAAAUAGAAGGGCAUCCGUGCGGACAAGGUCAAAGAAUUGGUUUGAUUUCAUGGAAGCUGAAACCGAGUAUAGCAGAAACGAUUUGUUGCAUCUGAAUCCAGAAUUCCAAGAGAAAUUGGAAAUAGCACAACUUGAUGCAUUAUUUUUCUGUCGAGAAGAGAGGAUGGGAGUUAGCUGAUUGACAGCUUAUGACCUGUCUAUACUUUUUAGCAAGGGAAGAGUCAGUGUGUGCAGCUCAAGCCUAAACCCAGUUGUGUUAUAUGGUCUUGGUUUUGAUCAUCAUCUCCUUGUGAUGCUAAACUUUGACCAUCAUCAAUUUCUUCCUAAUCCACUGCACAAUUGACAUUGGUCUUCUUUUAAUCAAGGAACUAUAGUUUUGAUGCAAAAGCAUGUUGUAAUAACUGUCAAUUGUGUGACCAACUAUGUUAUGAAAGGAACUAAUUUUGGCUUUUGAAUACUUCCUUCAA